UGUUAAAUGAUGUUAACGCGUGUCAACUGCAAUUGUGCUCUCGAGUACUCUUCUUGAUGAUUGAAAAGCUUUAUGUUCGGACUACUGAUAAA
ensembl:snoRNA snoRNA:Or-CD8